CACGUAGGGCGCAAGCGUUGUCCGGAAUUAUUGGGCGUAAAGAGCUCGUAGGCGGUCUGUCGCGUCGGCUGUGAAAACCUGGGGCUCAACUCCGGGCCUGCAGCCGAUACGGGCAGACUAGAGUUCGGUAGGGGAGUCUGGAAUUCCUGGUGUAGCGGUGAAAUGCGCAGAUAUCAGGAGGAACACCGGUGGCGAAGGCGGGACUCUGGGCCGAUACUGACGCUGAGGAGCGAAAGCGUGGGGAGCAAACAGG
rnacentral:rRNA from 1 species